GGGGAGAGAUAUAUUGAUUGAGAUCAAAAUAAUUCACUAGAUGACCAGGUAAAACUCGAUAAUUUUAUACGUCAAAUCAGUUGAAAAUGGUGUCAUUGAUAUGCAUGACUGCUUAAGCAAUUUAUUGAGAAUUAGUAGACAAAAUUACCUUAGAAGAUUUUUACUUUCAGUCUGCAGCUAUUAUAUCACCAUUUAUUGACAUAAUAAUUGUAGGGAGAAUAUCAAGAAAAAGAGUGAAAAUCUACUUUGGCAUCUAUUAAGAUCUCAAUAUUGUGCAGAACAAGACUACUAAGUUAAGAGAAUAAAUAAUACAAAUAUAAACAUUCCUUUUCUUGCUUUCAAAAAUAUAAGGGUAAAGGGUUUGGAGUCACAAUGCUGGGCUGCGUAAGGAGACAUGGUAUGACAGCUGAAGCAAAGGAAAUAACCAAGUCCUCCGAUGAAAAAAUGAUGAGAAUCUGGAAAAGUAAUCAGCAUUCUUUACAAUAGCCAAGACAUGGAAACAGCCUAAGCAUCCACUGAUGGAUGAAUGGAUGAAGAAAAUGUGGUAUCUAUAUGCAAUGAAAUAUUAUUCAGACAUAAAUAAGAAGGAAAUUCUGCCAUUUGUGACAACAUGGAUGAAUCUUGAGGGCAUUAUGCUAAGCGAAGUAAGUCAGGCGGAGAAAGACAAAUACUCUUUGGAAAAGGAAGGAAUAUCAUAGGCUGAGACAGAGAAUGGGAGAAGAAGGAUGGGAAGCUUGAGAAGAGAUGACAAUGUGUAAAAUGAUCAUCAGGAGAAUGAAAAAGUGAAUAUUCAAGAGAUAUGUGACAGGACAUAUGAGGAAAAUUUUUGAAAGAUUUCAAAAUGGACAUAAAAAGAUUACCGGCAUCCUGUCCAGUGCAUAUUUUUUUGGGUUAAUUUUGCCUUUCCAUGUCUUUUAUCUAUUUUACCUCAAUGUAAGGAAGAGAAAACUGUUAAGAAUGCAAGUGAUUCUUAAUCAUUGAAAUGCAGAAGAAUUGUGUCCAGUGAAUUGCAAUUGGUGUUUCCCUUGUGGAUGAACCAGGGUUUGGUUUGGUUUGGUUUUGUAACAGCUUUCUUGAGAUAUAAUUCACAUACCAUGCAAUUUACCCACGAUAAACACAUUUUGCAUCUAUUUAUGAAUUCAUUUACCAUUCCCUAUUGCCUAUGCAUGUGCAGUCCUUUGAAUUCCACCUUUGAACAAGUUGCAACAUUUUAGGGGUUCCCACCGUAUUAAUUAAUUUGUUAAACAAAAUCUUUCAGGUGGGUUCAUUUAUAUUUGUUUGAGAUUCGCGAUUUUGCUAUUUAAAAAAUACUAUUAAAACAUGUUAAAUUUGAAUUGCCAGAAGGACGCAUAGAUGUAGAACCCGUAGCUAGUUAUAAGCAGGAGUUGGCUGGCGAGAGAGGCAGAAUUGGAUGGCAUUGCUUUGUAAAAGGUAGUAGCAGCAUGGAAUUGAAUGAAAAGAAAACUGAAGAUGGAAGACCGAGGAUCUUCAACAUCUAUUGGAAUGGACAAAAGAGAGAAAAUAGCCAAAAUAUUUUAAGGAAAAUCUAUAUGAAAAGCUGAGACUAUUUUACCAGGAUCAUUGUAUUAGUUUUCUAUUACUACCAUAACAAAUUACCUCCAAUUUAGUGGCAUAAAACUACACAAAUUUAUUAUCUUAUAGUUCUGUGGGUUAGAAUUGCAAAAUGGAUCUCACUGAGCUAAAAUCAAGCUAUUGGUAGAGCUGUAUCCCCUUCUUGAGGCUUUAGAGUAGAAUCCUUUUCCAGCUUCUAGAGGCUGCCUGCAUUCCUUGGCUCAUGGACCCCUUUCUCUGUCUUCAAAGCCAGCAAUAGUACAUUGAGUCCUUCUCACAUCAAAUUACUCUGACUAUUUUUCCAUAGUCACAUUUCCCUCUGCUUCUCUUCUUGUCUCUCUUUCUUCUACUUUUAAGGACCCUUGUAAUUACAUCAGUUUCAUCCACAUAAUCCAGGGUAAUCUCCCCAUUAGGAUCAGCUGAUUAGCAACCUUAACUCCAUCUGCAAAUUUAAUUCUCUUCUACCAUGUAAUCUAACAUAUUCACAUGUUCCAGGGAUUAGGACAUGGACAUCUUUGGGGCUAUUAUUCUGCCAAUCACACCUGUCAUAUGGGAUGCCAAGAAAGGAGAGUUUUUAAUAGAGGACAUAGUUCAGAUUGUCACAUGUUAGAGAGUAAUAAUGAAAAAGAAGAACAACAAAGCACUAGUGUUGGUCAUCAGGGAGUCUUUGUUUCUUCUUUAGAAAAAAUUUCAUUAUCAAAGUCAAGAUGGAUUGAGACACAUAGGACAAGUUGAAGGUAAAUUGAAGACUGAAGGAAAACUAUGACGUGGUAUAUAGAGUACACUCCAAAGAAGUCAGAUGGCAAAGAGAAAGAGAGUGGUAAGCAGAAAUAACAGCAGGGCCUAGAGAAGUUGUUGGUAUGUGUGCAUUUCACUUUUGAUUAUUUAUAUUUUUAGAACCAAAGGGACAAGCCUAUUUGUAGGCUGGUGCUCAGGGGCCAACUGAAAAGCAAACUCAGAUUCUCUCUUUUGAAUUUCUGGGUCUUUGACCUUAUUACUUCCCCAAUUUAGAGCAUUUCAGCAUUAACCUUUGAAAAGAACAGCAUGUUGUCAAGCACACAAAGCACCUAAAAGCACUUUCCUAAAAUGUUCCCGAGUGAAGAUGUUAGAAAACGUCACAAAACCUGUUAUUAUCAUUGAGGUGUGAGUGUGGCUCCAUUGGUUGCUCUCUGAGAUGAGACUGUAUCUGCCUGAAAUGGCAUUGAUUCCAUGUAUAUACCAAUAACAAACCAAAAGGAGAAAAAACAUUUGGAAAAAGAAAAUAAAUAACUGAGAAAAGCACUCUAAAAAUCUAUGAAUAGCAAACACGUAUAUGGACCCCAAAUGUACAUUAUUUGAUAAUAACAGACAUACUGUGGUAACACAGUGUCACAACUAAGCAUGCUGAUCCAUCAAUCAGGCUUCAUGCUUAUUGCCAAUAAGAAUAUCUUAAUGAAAUCAAUAGGUUUGGGGUUAAAUGUCACCCAAGUGGCCUCCUUUGGAAGGCUAAGACCGUACCUUAUUUCCACAUAUGUCGUCUAUGCCUUUCUGCUUUCUCAAGUUGAAUUCUCUCUCUCAUUCCAGUCACGUACUUCUCCUGCCCUCUCUGCCAUGCAAAAAUGCCACCAAAUUUAUCAGAAAAGAUUUGCCCUUUGUGAAACUAGCCUGAUUAAGUUUUAUCAGCUCAUAUCUCUCUGGAUGUUUGGUAACCUCAUUCCUUAUUACUGUCUCAGAGAUCUUGCCUACA